GCCUUCUUAGCUCAGUUGGUAGAGCGCGACACUAGUACUAUACAGGCCCCCUGUAUACGCGCCAUGUCGAGGUCGCCAGUUCGACUCUGUCAGGAGGCA
rfam:Fungal sp. No.11243 DNA, scaffold: sccafold0002.